ensembl:snRNA U4 U4 spliceosomal RNA
AGCUUUGCGCAGUGGCAGUAUCGUAGCCGAUGAGGUGAACCCGAGGCGCGAUUAUUGCUGAUUGAAAACUUUUCCCAAUACCCCGCCAUGACGACUUGAAAUACAGUCGGCAUCGGCAAUUUUUGAGAGCCUCUCCGGAGG